rnacentral:rRNA from 1 species
UUAGUGGAAGCGUCUGGAAAGGCGCGCGAUACAGGGUGACAGCCCCGUACACAAAAGCGCAUGUGCUGUGAGCUCGAUGAGUAGGGCGGGACACGUGGUAUCCUGUCUGAAUAUGGGGGGACCAUCCUCCAAGGCUAAAUACUCCUGACUGACCGAUAGUGAACCAGUACCGUGAGGGAAAGGCGAAAAGAACCCCGGCGAGGGGAGUGAAAAAGAACCUGAAACCGUGUACGUACAAGCAGUGGGAGCACAGGUUUACCUGUGUGACUGCGUACCUUUUGUAUAAUGGGUCAGCGACUUAUAUUCUGUAGCAAGGUUAACCGMAUAGGGGAGCCGSAGGGAAACCGAGUCUUAAUUGGGCGUUAAGUUGCAGGGUAUAGACCCGAAACCCGGUGAUCUAGCCAUGGGCAGGUUGAAGGUUGGGUAACACUAACUGGAGGACCGAACCGACUAAUGUUGAAAAAUUAGCGGAUGACCUGUGGCUGGGGGUGAAAGGCCAAUCAAACCGGGAGAUAGCUGGUUCUCCCCGAAAGCUAUUUAGGUAGCGCCUCGUGAAUUCAUCUCCGGGGGUAGAGCACUGUUUCGGCUAGGGGGCCAUCCCGGCUU